AAAAACAUGGUCUACUCGGGAAAAACUGUGAGGACAACUACUGCAAAAUACUAGUUUAUAGUCACAAAUCUAGGAAAAAAUCAUUUCUGUAAAAAACAUCAUUUUACUAAUCUUCAACUAAAAAUUUCUAACUUUUUUAACAAGUCACAAACAUUUAACGUAUAUUAUAGGCUACAGUUAAUAAAACAUUGGGUAUGUCACUUCUACUAUUUUAAUAUUCUUCACAUAAUAUUUUAAGUUUAUUU